UACGUAGGGUGCAAGCGUUGUCCGGAAUUAUUGGGCGUAAAGAGCUCGUAGGCGGUUCGUCGCGUCGGCUGUGAAAACCUGAGGCUCAACCUCAGGCCUGCAGUCGAUACGGGCGGACUUGAGUACUGCAGGGGAGACUGGAAUUCCUGGUGUAGCGGUGAAAUGCGCAGAUAUCAGGAGGAACACCGGUGGCGAAGGCGGGUCUCUGGGCAGUAACUGACGCUGAGGCGCGAAAGCGUGGGGAGCAAACAGG
rnacentral:rRNA from 1 species